GGGCCUAUAGCUUAGUCCGGUAGAGCACUCGACAUAUUACCGAGUGGUCGGGGGUUCGAAUCCCUCUGGGCCCA
rnacentral:tRNA from 1 species